CAUUCAUAUUAGUAGUAUUCAGCUCUGUGAUGAAACAUGUAUGUUUUCUUCGUAGGUCAGCCUCAUAAUCCCAUAGUUUUCCAAAUUGAAUGGCUUGUGCUUUAAGGAUAGUGUGCAACACAAUCCGUCUUCCUCUAGCACUUUCAAAUAGGUACUACAAUGCUAAACUUUUCCUUUAUAAUGUCAUUUAUCUCAGCUGAUUACAUGUUUAUAUUUCUUCUUAAUUAUUCUCUGAACAGUGCUGCAAUCUCUCCUUGUUUCAGUAUUGAGACCUUACUUGAUUUCUCAUGGUUGUGAUUUUUGUGACACACAUUCACCAUUUAUUGAUAGAUAUUUUAACUGAGCAUAAAAUUUUCCUAGGUCAUUUUUCUACACAACAAACUGCAUAUUACUUGUUUCUGACUUCGCCAUUUUAACACCAUAUUGUGUGUUAAGUGAGUAUUGAAGCAGCUGAUCCUUAAACUCCAAUCCACUAUCAAAAUUUUGAAACAACCAGAUGUAGGGUUCUUUAUCCAAAGGUCCAUGAAACUUAGAUUUACUUCUAGUCUUUCGUUUAGACAUCCUUUGAUCUCAUUCCUCUUGUGAUUUUAAUGGUGUAUCUGGAUAUUUCACAUCCCCAAACCUAUCUUCUUCAUCUCUUUCUGCUGCUUCCCUUGCUUCUUCUCAAAUUCCUUUGUUAUGUCUCAUUUGUGAUGCCUUAAAAUCAGCUGUUGACUUCGUACUUUCCUCAAAGACACUCUUAAACCUCUCAUCAUUAGCAUCAUCUCAUGCGUAUACUAAAACUUCCUUUCCAUCGUCAUUUUAAUCUGCUUCUUGUUGAAUUUCAUCUUCUUCCUCAGCUACUGGUUGCUCAUCCUUGGAUUCUUCACCGUCAUCAUCUUCUCUCAGCCUAUUUACACAUUCAUCACCAUUCUCUACUUCGUUCUAAUCAUCAUGCUCAAAAUCCCUCUCUCUAUCAAAUUUGCACCUCUUUUAUCCUCUCUUUGGCUACUUGGCAAAAAAUCAAUGGUGUUUGGCGAAUGAGCUGAGCAGUCUUGUUCCAAAAACACAUCUACUUCACCACAUUCCUUCCUUGCAGCUUGUGCUCAACCAUAUCGUCAUUCAUCGUGUCAAACACAUACUUUAGAUCCUUUAAUUCUUUGCUUGGAAGCUUGUACCAAAUCAAUGCAAUUGACGACAUAAUUUUCUUAUUUACAAUGAAGGCUUUAAAAUUCUCCCAUCCAAUUUCAUAAGGCUUCCAA
rnacentral:lncRNA from 1 species